rnacentral:rRNA from 1 species
GAAUAUUGGACAAUGGGCGAAAGCCUGAUCCAGCCAUGCCGCGUGUGUGAAGAAGGUCUUCGGAUUGUAAAGCACUUUAAGUUGGGAGGAAGGGCAGUAAGCGAAUACCUUGCUGUUUUGACGUUACCGACAGAAUAAGCACCGGCUAACGCUGGGCCAGCAGCCGCGGGAAGACAGAGGGGUCAAGGGUUAAUCGGAAUUACUGGGGGUAAAGGGCGGGGAGGGGGGUCGUUAAGUUGGAUGUGAAAUCCCCGGGCUCAACCUGGGAACUGCAUCCAAAACUGGCGAGCUAGAGUAGGGCAGAGGGUGGUGGAAUUUCCUGUGUAGCGGUGAAAUGCGUAGAUAUAGGAAGGAACACCAGUGGCGAAGGCGACCACCUGGGCUCAUACUGACACUGAGGUGCGAAAGCGUGGGGAGCAAACAG